AGAGAGAGAAAGAAAAGAAAAGGGGAGGUGGGGAAAAAGAAAGAAAACUCACCGCAUUAACACGGUGCACUGGCAUGUUACUAAAUCUAAGGAAUUUUGAAGGAUAAAUUCUCAGACUUUAUCCAAAACAUGAAACAAAUUCUUCAAACAUAAGCUGCCACACUCAUCAACUUGUUCAGAUCCCUGUAAUGUCGCUCUCCCCAAACGCCACGCUUAGCUCUGUGAUUGGCUGUUUAACACUUGCAGGCUGUGGAGGUGGUGGGCAGGGAGGUCCGUCCGGAGGGGACUGUUCAACAAGCCUGGUGUGUUGGCCCCUCAGAAGAUCAGACUUCUGGAAUCGAUUUGGGUUCAGAAUUGCAUUACCGAAGGAAUGCCGAGUAUGCGCGGGCCUUGAUGGCUUGUGAACCACACUUCCUGAAGCUGGCCACAAGCCAGCACCGAGACCAUCAGCAUCUUAAAAAUGAAUUCUUUAUGAGACAAAGAACAAGCCACCCAAUUUCUGAAAUCACUGAAGUGGAAAGCUUGUCUCAAUGGAGCACUGACCAAGACAGAAGACCAUGAGGUUUUGCCUUCUGUGUGAAUUUUCAUGUCUAUUUCCUUCUGAGUACCUUACAAAGAAGACAAAGAAAAAUCUACCUGAACAGUGAGUGCAUACCUUAUUUUUCUUACUAGGAGAAUCACACCCUCGUUAGCCCAUCUUUCAUGAUAGAAAUACUAAAAAGUUACUUUCUUAAGGUGUAACAAUGGAGAUUUAAGUGAAGCCCAUGUUUCCAAGUGAAGCCUUAAUGUUAAAUCUAGUGAGCUGAGUUAAAACAUUUUCAUCAGAACCUGCAGCCAGCCUGAGAGACUUACUUCCCAAUUAAAUCCAUCUCUUUAUAAGUUCUGGAUGUUUUCACUUGCUUUAUGAAACAAUACUGGCAAGUCCAGACACAAUUGCCCUUUCUAAACAGUAUAUAAGCAAUCAAAUUAAGUUAGUUUGAGCAUAAAUUCCUAGAGGCUGCAGAGAGUCUAAUUGUCUAAUACAAGCAACUAGUGAAGAAAUGAAUGAAUGGAUGGACAACUUUUUUAAGUGAAAUAUUUCUAUGAAGAGAAAUCAGACUAUGAAUGACCGCUUCAAAGCUCUUCUUCAGUGGCUGGUGAUGAGCUGAUCAGUCAGAAAGAGCUGGAAAUGGCAACACAUGAAACUGGCAAACUUGUACAAUAUAUCUUAAAAUGAUAUUACCAAGAAUGUUGAAGAAAGAAAUCAGCUUGUUAGGUCAGAAAAUCAAAAUUGUUAUCACAGACUACCACAAACUGAUUCAACUAAUUUUCCGCUGAGCAAUGCAUUCCAGGGCUUUUGAAAGUCCCCCACACUUCACAGCAGGCUUCCCCAGUAUGAAGGGCCCUUAAACAUAAUUUGAUCCAGUCCAUGUGCUUAGUAGAAAAAAAAAGCAAAGACCCAAAGCAGCGGUGUAGCAUGUCCCAGGUCACAGAGUUAUACAGCCACCCUCUUAAUGCUCCUUCUGAGACACCAUGGUACCCUACUAAGAAUUCACAGGAGGGAUGAAGAGCCAGGCCAGAGAUAAUCAGGAUGCUGGACACAGAAGAGCUGCUUAAUAAAAGGUAGACCAGCUCUAAGUACUCAGGGUGAAUCAAGAAAACACCAGAGAAUGUGACAUUCUGGUGUAAAGGAGCCACAAGACCCCAGCAGAGUAAGGGAAAUUCAAGACUUUGCUGAUGAAAGUAUGUAGAAGGAACAUGGCUGUAAACCCAGUUGGGACACUUCUCUUCUAAAAGGUUCUGUUCCAAAUAUAGCAAUGUCACAGGAAUACAGGCUUCUUUCGCUGUUGGUUGGGAGAAAGAGAAAGUAGCUUGUGCGAUGCCUCAUAGCAAGCAUUGCUGAGCGAGAUCCCAUCAUCCCCAGUGAUGCCAGAACCCCCAAACCACCAAGGACUACAAGGAAAUGACUGGCUGCUCUGAUCCGUGCAGAACCAAGGCCUGAGAUGUUCCAGGAGUUGUUUUCAAAGAAAGUGUUUUGCCACCCUGCCAAGGAGAGAAAACCCACGAAAAGGGAGAAAUGGAAUUGUGUUAAGAUUUAUCACCAUGUGUCACCAUGGCUGAAAGCAGGACAGCAAAAAAAAAAAAAAAAAAAAAAAAAAGGGCAUGAGCAAGUGAGUUAAAAACUUUCCAUAGCAUGAAAAAUGUGGGCCUGAAGUGGAAUGCAAGGGAAACUUCCAAGAUGGCAGGCCAGAAUUUAGUGAUGGACUGUCAGAAUAGCUCCAGAGACAUACAGAGGAACAAGACAUACUAUAUUCCUAGGACUGACUUAAGAAUAAGGCCUGGACAAGAAGGAAGACUUGCAGCCAAAUGCUCAAAUGCCUUAAAGUUCCAAUGGUGCCUGUAGACACAGAGCUAGAACUUGGCCCACAUGAGAACAAUGAGGUUUCUGCCCACUGAAUCACGUGGAGACACCCUCUUACUUCCUACACAGUGAUCAGACUGGCAAAGAUCAAAAUGAGCCAGUCACUCUGGACCAGUCCUCGCUACUCCUCUGCUGUUCUGCCUGUAAUGGCUUCAUACUGUUUCAGCCCCUUUUGAGUGUUCUGUGGGAACAAGUUGAUGAUGGUUGGACAUCCAGUAAAAAGAAAAUUAAACAAUACAAAAAAAGAAAGAAGGAAGAAAUCAAAAAAGGAAGGAAGGAAGGAAGGAGAAAGAAAGAAAGAAAGAAAAGAAAAGUGAGUGAUGACUUGAGGUACUUAAUUACGAGAUGAUAAACCCUUGGGACCUUAGAACAAAUGCACAGAGCACUAAACUGUCCCGAAUCACCAGUUGCAUGCACACAAAAUAACAUAUUGAAAGAGAAAAUGUGUGUCAGAUUGGGCUUGGCAUUUUGUGUGCAUGAUCUUACUAAAGUCCUCAGUUUCCCCUUUUUGCAGAAAGGGAAACUUAGAGUUUAAAAGAUUUAACAUCUUACUUGAAGUUGUUUAGAGAGUCUCACAAACCCAGCUUAUUAGCGUCGGCAUUUAACCACUCCACUGUUUGCCACAUCUCUUUCAGCCUUUUAAGAAAAUAAAUGCUACAUUUAAAAACAAUUAAUCUAUUCGGUGUUCUGAACUGCCUCUGUGGAGUGGAAAGUCAGCAAGUACCACGGAUGAAGUCAUGGCCUGGAAAACCAGGCUCUGAUCGGAACUGGGCCACUCAAUACUGAGUGUGGUGUUUAAAAUUCUUACCCUGCUUGUCUGCCUUCACUUAAGUCAUAGUACUUUUCCUCUGAGAUGCAUCCCAUCCCCACAGACCGCUUCACACUAGUCAGUGGCGUGAAUUAAGAGUACAGGUUUUCCUGACCAUCACACACCACCGGAAGGACAAUUCCUUAGUCUUCGUGUGGAAGGACCAGUGAGAUGGGGUUUCUGUAUCUAAAUCUCAGGAUCCAGCACUUGCUACAAUUGUUUCUGCAAUUUCACUUGCCAUUGUGGAGGACCUCAAUGUCUGCUCUCCUAACUCUUCAGUAACAUUACCCAGAAUCCCUUACUAACCAGAGUACAAUUAAAGAAGGCAAAUGCACGGCGAAGCUCAUCAGUUCUUAGGGCCACAUCUGAACAUUCUCUUUAAGGCACAGGACCUUACUGAGUGUUUUACUGUGAUCUCCCUGGACCACCUGUUCCAGGGUAGCACCACCCACACAAUGAUCUGGACUCUUCCACAUCAACCAUGAAUCAAGAAAAUGGGCCACAGAUAGACACGCCCACACGGCAAUCUGAUGGAGGUUUCGAAGAAUUUACAAUGUCACAGAGAGCUGCUCCCAGCUUGCCUUCCCCAAGAAGUGACAAAAGUUAUAAAUCCAGGUCUUCUACUUUCUCACGAAAGGGACUGCCCAAAAAUGAGGAACCAGGAAAAUAAACAAUGAGUUGAAGAAACUCUUCAAGUCCAACUGGACUGAGGGAGACUAAGAUUAUAAUGUAUGUAUAAUUUGGAAGCCGCUUUCUUUCUGCUCUACAAUACAGUCUCCAGUUGCACGCUGGAUCCUUAGAUGCCAUAGGGCCACAUGCUACCAAAACUGCCAAUAAAGUAAAGAAAGGAA